rnacentral:rRNA from 1 species
UACGUAGGCAGCGAGCGUUGUUCGGAAUUACUGGGCGUAAAGAGUGUGUAGGUGGUGCUCUAAGUUUGGUGUGAAAUCUCCCGGCUCAACCGGGAGGGUGCAUCGAAAACUGGAGUGCUAGAGGAUGGGAGAGGCAAGCGGAAUUCCUGGAGUAGCGGUGAAAUGCGUAGAUAUCAGGAGGAACACCUGUGGUGUAGACAGCUUGCUGGACCAUUUCUGACACUGAGACACGAAAGCGUGGGUAGCAAACAGG